rnacentral:rRNA from 1 species
AUUGAACGCUGGCGGCAUGCCUUACACAUGCAAGUCGAACGGCAGCACGGGUGCUUGCACCUGGUGGCGAGUGGCGAACGGGUGAGUAAUACAUCGGAACAUGUCCUGUAGUGGGGGAUAGCCCGGCGAAAGCCGGAUUAAUACCGCCUACGAUCUACGUAUGAAAGCGGGGGACCUUCGGGCCUCGCGCUAUAGGGUUGGCCGAUGGCUGAUUAGCUAGUUGGUGGGGUAAAGGCCUACCAAGGCGACGAUCAGUAGCUGGUCUGAGAGGACGACCAGCCACACUGGGACUGAGACACGGCCCAGACUCCUACGGGAGGCAGCAGUGGGGAAUUUUGGACAAUGGGCGAAAGCCUGAUCCAGCAAUGCCGCGUGUGUGAAGAAGGCCUUCGGGUUGUAAAGCACUUUUGUCCGGAAAGAAAUCCUUGGCCCUAAUACGGUCGGGGGAUGACGGUACCGGAAGAAUAAGCACCGGCUAACUACGUG